UACGAAGGUCCCAAGCGUUAUCCGGAUUCAUUGGGUUUAAAGGGUGCGUAGGUGGAAUGAUAAGUCAGUGGUGAAAUCUUGCAGCUUAACUGUAAAACUGCCAUUGAUACUGUCAUUCUUGAGUAUAGUUGAUGUGGGCGGAAUAUGUCAUGUAGCGGUGAAAUGCUUAGAUAUGACAUAGAACACCGAUUGCGAAGGCAGCUCACAAAGCUACCACUGACACUGAGGCACGAAAGCGUGGGGAUCAAACAGG
rnacentral:rRNA from 1 species